AGAGUUUGAUCCUGGCUCAGAACGAACGCUGGCGGCGUGCCUAACACAUGCAAGUCGAACGAGAAAGUCCUUCGGGACGAGUAUAGUGGCGCACGGGUGAGUAACACGUGGGUAACCUGCCCUUGAGACGGGGAUAACACUUCGAAAGGAGUGCUAAUACCGGAUAAGACCACAGGUACUUCGGUACCAGGGGUCAAAGGAUGCGAAAGUGUCGCUCGAGGAUGGGCCCGCGGAACAUUAGCUUGAUGGUGGGGUAAAAGCCUACCAUGGCUACGAUGUUUAGCUGGUCUGAGAGGACGAUCAGCCACACUGGAACUGAGACACGGUCCAGACUCCUACGGGAGGCAGCAGUGGGGAAUAUUGGACAAUGGGGGAAACCCUGAUCCAGCAACGCCGCGUGAGUGAUGAAGGCCUUCGGGUCGUAAAACUCUGUUGAGGGGGAUGAAACGCCUGAUUAACACCCAGGAUUGACCUAACCCCUUGAGGAAGCACCGGCUAACUCUGUGCCAGCAGCCGCGGUAAUACAGAGGGUGCAAGUGUUGUUCGGAAUCAUUGGGCGUAAAGAGCGUGUAGGCGGCUCGGUAAGUCAGAUGUGAAAGCCCUGGGCUCAACCCAGGAACUGCAUUUGAUACUGCCAAGCUAGAGUCCGGUAGAGGGGAGUGGAAUUCCCGGUGUAGAGGUGAAAUUCGUAGAUAUCGGGAGGAACACCAGUGGCGAAAGCGGCUCUCUGGGCCGGUACUGACGCUGAGACGCGAAAGCGUGGGGAGCAAACAGGAUUAGAUACCCUGGUA
rnacentral:rRNA from 1 species